GGGCCCAUAGCUCAGUCGGAUAGAGCGGCGGCCUUCUAAGCCGAUGGUCGGUGGUUCGAUUCCACCUGGGCCCGCCA
rnacentral:tRNA from 2 species